rnacentral:rRNA from 1 species
GUGCCAGCCGCCGCGAUAAUACGUAGGUGGCGAGCGUUGUCCGGAAUUACUGGGCGUAAAGGGUGCGUAGGCGGUCCAUUAAGUCUGAUUUGAAAUACCAUGGCUCAACCAUGGGGGUGGAUUGGAAACUGGUGGACUUGAGCGUAGGAGAGGAAGGUGGAAUUCCAUGUGUAGCGGUGAAAUGCGUAGAGAUGUGGAGGAACACCAGUGGCGAAGGCGGCCUUCUGGCUUACCCCUGACGCUGAGGCACGAAAGCGUGGGGAGCAAACAGGAUUAGAUACCCUGGUAGUCCACGCCGUAAACGAUGAGUACUAAGUGUCGGUCGCAAGAUCGGUGCUGAAGUUAACGCAUUAAGUGCUCCGCCUGGGGAGUACGGUCGCAAGACUGAAACUCAAAGGAAUUGACGG